CGCGAACGCUGGCGGCGUGCCUAACACAUGCAAGUCGUGCGGAGGGGUGAUGAGCCCCUCAGCGGCAAACGGGUGAGUAACACGUGAGUAACCUACCCUUGGGAAGGGGAUAACCCUCCGAAAGGAGGGCUAAUACCCUAUACUGCCGGGGACCACUAAGGUCUCCCGGUGAAAGGUGGCUUCUGCUCUGCAUGCUACCGCCCAAGGAGGGGCUCGCGGCCCAUCAGGUAGUUGGUGGGGUAACGGCCUACCAAGCCUAUGACGGGUAGCCGGCCUGAGAGGGUGGUCGGCCACAGUGGGACUGAGACACGGCCCACACCCCUACGGGGGGCAGCAGUGGGGAAUCGUGGGCAAUGGGCGCAAGCCUGACCCCGCGACGCCGCGUGGAGGAAGAAGCCCUUCGGGGUGUAAACUCCUGUCGGGGGGGACGAUGUGCCUUGGAAUGAAUAAUUCCAGGGCAUGACGGUACCCCCAGAGGAAGGGACGGCUAACUACGUGCCAGCAGCCGCGGUAAUACGUAGGUCCCGAGCGUUGCGCGAAUUCACUGGGCGUAAAGCGUCCGCAGCCGGACGGGUAAGCGGUGUGUCAAAGCCCACCGCUCAACGGUGGAACGGCGUAUCGAACUGCCCGUCUUGAGGCACGCUUAGGCAGGCGGAAUUCCAGGUGUAGCGGUGAAAUGCGUAGAUAUCGGGAGGAACACCGAAGGCGAAGGCAGCCUGCUGGGGCUGUCCUGACGGUCAGGGACGAAAGCUGGGGGAGCAAACCGGAUUAGAUACCCGGGUAGUCCACGCCGUAAACGAUGGGUGCUAGGUCUGGGGAGGUAAUCU
rnacentral:rRNA from 1 species